AUUGAACGCUGGCGGCAGGCUUAACACAUGCAAGUCGAGCGGGGGAAGGUAGCUUGCUACUGGACCUAGCGGCGGACGGGUGAGUAAUGCUUAGGAAUCUGCCUAUUAGUGGGGGACAACAUCUCGAAAGGGAUGCUAAUACCGCAUACUUCCUACGGGAGAAAGCAGGGGAUCUUCGGACCUUGCGCUAAUAGAUGAGCCUAGGUCGGAUUAGCUAGUUGGGGGGGUAAAGGCUUACCAAGGCGACGAUCUGUAGCGGGUCUGAGAGGAUGAUCCGCCACACUGGGACUGAGACACGGCCCAGACUCCUACGGGAGGCAGCAGUGGGGAAUAUUGGACAAUGGGCGUAAGCCUGAUCCAGCCAUGCCGCGUGUGUGAAGAAGGCCUUAUGGUUGUAAAGCACUUUAAGCGAGGAGGAGGCUACUUUAGAUAAUACCUAGAGAUAGUGGACGUUACUCGCAGAAUAAGCACCGGCUAACUCUGUGCCAGCAGCCGCGGUAAAAC
rnacentral:rRNA from 1 species